AAAAAAGGUAAGCUACUAAGAGCGAAUGGUGGAUGCCUUGACUGGUAAAGGCGAUGAAGGACGUACUAGACUGCGAUAAGCUACGGGGAGCUGUCAAGAAGCUUUGAUCCGUAGAUUUCCGAAUGGGGCAACCCAAUGUAUAGAGAUAUACAUUACCUAUAUAGGAGCGAACGAGGGGAAUUGAAACAUCUUAGUACCCUCAGGAAAAGAAAUCAAUAGAGAUUGCGUCAGUAGCGGCGAGCGAAAGCGCAAGAGGGCAAACCCAGUGCUUGCACUGGGGGUUGUAGGACUGCAAUGUGCAAGAGGUAAGUUUAGCAGAACAUUCUGGAAAGUAUAACCAUAGAGGGUGAUAGUCCCGUAUGCGAAAAACAAACCUUAGCUAGCAGUAUCCUGAGUAGGGCGGGACACGAGGAAUCCUGUCUGAAUCUGGGUCGACCACGAUCCAACCCUAAAUACUAAUACCAGAUCGAUAGUGCACAAGUACCGUGAGGGAAAGGUGAAAAGAACUGAGGUGAUCAGAGUGAAAUAGAACCUGAAACCAUUUGCUUACAAUCAUUCAGAGCCCUAUGUAGCAAUACAGGGUGAUGGACUGCCUUUUGCAUAAUGAGCCUGCGAGUUGUGGUGUCUGGCAAGGUUAAGCAAACGCGAAGCCGUAGCGAAAGCGAGUCUGAAUAGGGCGCUUAGUCAGAUGCUGCAGACCCGAAACGAAGUGAUCUAUCCAUGAGCAAGUUGAAGCUAGUGUAAGAACUAGUGGAGGACUGAACCCAUAGGCGUUGAAAAGCCCCGGGAUGACUUGUGGAUAGGGGUGAAAGGCCAAUCAAACUUCGUGAUAGCUGGUUCUCUCCGAAAUAUAUUUAGGUAUAGCGUUGUGUCGUAAUAUAAGGGGGUAGAGCACUGAAUGGGCUAGGGCAUACACCAAUGUACCAAACCCUAUCAAACUCCGAAUACCUUAUAUGUAAUCACAGCAGUCAGGCGGCGAGUGAUAAAAUCCGUCGUCAAGAGGGAAACAACCCAGACUACCAGCUAAGGUCCCUAAAUCUUACUUAAGUGGAAAACGAUGUGAAGUUACUUAAACAACCAGGAGGUUGGCUUAGAAGCAGCCAUCCUUUAAAGAAAGCGUAAUAGCUCACUGGUCUAGUGAUUUUGCGCGGAAAAUAUAACGGGGCUAAAGUAAGUA
rnacentral:rRNA from 1 species